rnacentral:rRNA from 1 species
UACGAAGGGGGCUAGCGUUGCUCGGAAUCACUGGGCGUAAAGGGUGCGUAGGCGGGUCGUUAAGUCAGGGGGGAAAUCCUGGAGCUCAACUCCAGAACUGCCUUUGAUACUGAGGAUCUUGAGUUCGGGAGAGGUGAGUGGAACUGCGAGUGUAGAGGUGAAAUUCGUAGAUAUUCGCAAGAACACCAGUGGCGAAGGCGGCUCACUGGCCCGAUACUGACGCUGAGGCACGAAAGCGUGGGGAGCAAACAGG